rnacentral:tRNA from 1 species
AGCCCCGAGGUGUACAUCAUGUAAGAUUGCAAAUCUUAAGAAGCAGGCUAAUCCCUGCCGGGGCUU